rnacentral:rRNA from 1 species
AUACGUAGGGGGCGAGCGUUGUCCGGAAUGAUUGGGCGUAAAGGGCGCGUAGGCGGCCCGGUAAGUCUGGAGUGAAAGUCCUGUUUUUAAGAUGGGAAUUGCUUUGGAUACUGUCGGGCUUGAGUGCAGGAGAGGUAAGUGGAAUUCCCAGUGUAGCGGUGACAUGCGUAGAGAUUGGGAGGAACACCAGUGGCGAAGGCGACUUACUGGACUGUAACUGACGCUGAGGCGCGAAAGUGUGGGGAGCAAACAGGAUUAGAUACCCUGGUAGUCCACACUGUAAACGAUGAAUGCUAGGUGUAGGGGGUAUCGACCCCUUCUGUGCCGCAGUCAACACAAUAAGCAUUCCGCCUGGGGAGUACGGCCGCAAGGUUGAAACUCAAAGGAAUUGACGGGG